AAAGUGCCAGGUAGGAGCACAUCACGAUAAGCUGUGACAUAAUAGCCUUAGAACUUGAACAAUCAGGCAAUGUUGUGACGAGACGCAAUUCCAUGUCGCGAUAAGGCGACAAUUACAAAAGGAUAUUGUCAUGAUGAGCCCUAACCCAACCGUCCAAAAUAGUUUCUUCUCCUUUAUUUUCUGCUACUCUCCGCCUCCACAACCCAAUCACAUCAAAUCCUUUCAAUCUUUCUUUCCCUUUUAUCAUUAGUAUUUUAUAUUUUACUAUUCUCUUAUUUGUUUCUUUUGAUUUUCAAGGUUAAAACACUAAAUCCCUCAUUGAGUCUCAACAAAUUGCUUCUCUAACGAGGAACCACGGUGGCCGACUGGGAAGCAUUCAACAACACAAAAACUCGGUGAUAUUCAAUCUGUCUCUAAUAUUUGUAUAUUUAUGCUAGAUUUUGAAAAGUGGACUAGAGAAUCCAAAUUUUUGAAUCAAUUGUACUGUGCUUAUUGGUUGUUGGAAUCAUAUCAUGAACUUGGUUAGCAUGUCUUUUCAAAAGAAAACGACAUCCCGGAGAACCAUGGAACGCGAUGUUCCCAAUGAUCCGAGAAGAAGAUUUGUCUCAAACAAAAUGGCCAACUGGUUUGGCAACUUUGAUAAACCACUUAUCCCGAAACAUGGCUUUGACUUUGCCAUGUAAUAUUCCAUGACCCUAUGCUUAUAAAGGUCAAGCACUUAAAAUAGGAUACUUUUUGCUGACAACCCAUCAAACUUGCAGUUAUAUCGAUUAUUCAGAAAAUUUACGCAAACUUUCCUGAGGCAUAAGACCAUAAAGUAUUUGUUAGAGGUAUUUUUAUAGACAACUCUCCAAUUGCGAUCGAGGCAGUUCAUAAAACACCUCGAUAUGCCUCCAAUUUUUAUGAAAAUUUAUUUGAGGGAAGAGGUGGAUUAUGAUGAAAUUAUUAACUUUUUAACUAAGGGUCGAGGUAGUUGGGUUCGAAAGUCGGUAACUAAGGAACCAUUAUGACUUCAGCUAUCAAUAAUGACUCUAGAGGCUAAAAUUGGAUGUAUUUUAUUUAUGGCAAUUUUUUUCCUGCACAACACGUCAAUCGUGCUCUUCUCUUCUAUGUUAUGUUGCAGGGUUGGAAGAUCAAUGUGGGGGACCAAAUCCUCUACAACAUGAGGAAAUGUGCUGGAGGGCACACACGAGGACUUUCACACUCACAUUUGAUUACGGAGAUGUGUAGGAAGGUUGUCGUUUAGAUAGACCAUGAGGAACUGACCUACCCGCUGAUGAGCAUCUUAAAUGAUGUUAUUUUUAAAUCGUUCUACAAUCAAUGCGCAAGUCGAAUGUAGGAAAAGAAUGAACAGGUGGUGACACAUCAGGAAUACACUCGAGACCGCGAACUUUUGGAGCCAAUGGAAGAGCCACAACCUAUACCACCAAGGGUGCAAAGAAAGAGGACGACUACGGUAGCUCUGACGAGUAAAGAAAUGGACCUAAGUAUAGAAGCAUAUGAUGAGUACAACAUUGAGUGAAACUAUGAAUACAAGAGGGUAAUAAGCCAUCUAGUCGAGCAAAUUCGGUAUAGAGUCGUUCUGAUGUCCACAACCACCUCUAUUUUGGAAAGCUCCAAUGGAUGUUGAUCCAUCUAACACAAACCGGCCCAAACAAAAUGUACCAUCCACUGCAAGAAGAAAGAAGAAGAUUGUCAUUCUGGACAAAGACAACCGAAUCGAGGAGUUUGAUGAUAACAACUUCGCAGACCUUUGAGAGAAUGUAAAAAAAAGUAUGUUUUUAAUUUUCUAUUUUAGUUUCUUAUUUUAAUUAGUAAAAAAACAUUUUUUACUUUUUGUGUAAGAACCCCACCUUAGGCGACACUACAAUUUCAAGCCGAACCUGAAAGGGGAAAACAACUCGACUAACCUUGCAACACAUUCACAAAAAACUGAGUAGUCUCUUCUCUUUAUUUAUUUUGGGAGCACAUUAGGGACAAUGUGUAAAAUAAAGCGUGGGGGCAACAUAGGAAAUUCUUAAAUUUUAGUUAUUAUUUUUUCUUAGUUUUCGUAAUUAUAUUUUUAUUUAAAUUUUUUUCUUUCUUUUAUUAUGUGUUUUGUUUGUGCUCGAGCUUGUAGAAAUACAACUGAUUGGUUAGGAGCAUAUAAAUAAGUUGUUUGUCUAAAUUGUAAAUCUAGCCUGAGAAUAAACGAUUUUAGGUUAUUUGGAUUUAGACUAGUUAGUUCAAUUUAUUAAAAUGUGAAUAAGAAAAAAGAGUUAAAUGUACCAACUGAUAAAGAUAUAUACAAGUAGGUAUAGGUGUUUGUUGAAUUCUAGGUUGUUUAAAUUCGAAUACCCAACUAUUGAAUCCAUGGUUAUUGAAACAGUAUAGUAUAAUAAGUAUAAAAUCCUUACAAGUAUGUGCCUAAAAAUAAAAAUUAUUGAUCAACUAAAAGCUUUGUGAGGGUUAAAAGCAAAGCGAGUGUAAUAAAAGCAUGGAACGGUUAAAAGCUAAGAGAGUGAAGAGUGAACACAGUGAAAUAAAUCUAAAAAUAUGAGCAAUUGAGAAAAUCUCACUCAUAUGGACACAAAUACUCGUGAAUUGCUUAUACUUGUAGAUAUUGUAUUAGAGUUCAAAGUAUGGAUAAAAGAAAUUGAGUAAUUAAAUUCAAACUACAUGUAUUCUCUAACCGUAAAUGCUAUAAUCGUGUUUACAUUUUGAUGGAGUCAUAUGUUUAACUUUCUUUGAUUUGUUUGCUUUGAAACAUAUUAAACUAGCAUGUUUGAAUGUGGAAAUUGUAAAUUGUUCAGACAUCUAGCUAGAAUUAUUGGUUAAGCAAAUCGUCCUUUUUUCAGCACUCCGACCCAAUCUUGCAUAUGAAACAUGCUCAAGUACUUCAGUUAUGUUACUUGUUUCUCUCUUUUUUUUAUCUUCUAUUUUUGUCUUGAUUGCUUGAGGAUAAGCAAUGAGUUAAGUGUGGGGGAGUUUGGUCUACCACAAUUCGUUGUGGCAAAUUAGAGUCUUUUUGACACUUAAUGAGCUUGAUUUCAAGUCGUUUUAUAUCAUUUUGUUUCAUUUUCCGUUUUAGUAGCUUAGACUAAAUUAUUAGCAAAAUAAUUAUUUUUAUGCAUUUUCUAGUGUUUCGAUGACCCAUUAGGCCAACACAGGCCUCAGGAAUGACUAAUGGGCUACUUGAGUGUGCAAGGUGUCAUUUCAAGCCAAACAACACAAAGGACGACGCCAAUGUCGUGACACCAACAUGCAACGUCGCGACAUUAAACAUUGAAGCAUCCAAGGCUAAAACAGAGGCGACAUCGCGAGUUAGGCAUCCUUGACGUCACGACCAAAUUUUGGAUACACGCGGUCGCGUUUUGGAAGCCGUCUAGGGCUUAAUUGUCCCAUUAAAACCUUAAUUAUUUUAAGGAUAUUUUAGGCAUUUAAGCAUCUCAAUUGUAGUCUAUAUAAACCCCAUUAUAAUUACAUUGUAGCCUAUAUAAACGGACCAUAUUUCAUUUUUUAAUUUUCAGUUUUCCUUAGUUUUUAUUUUAGUCUUUCUUAUGUUCUUUUAAUUGGAAUCGUACUAUUUUGAUGUGAAGACGAUUGAGAGCGAGGAUUGCUCCGGAACUGCGCUUUCAUUAUAUAUGUCCCACUUACACUUGUUUAUAGGUUGGGUUAUUUGCUUAAGCUUGAAGAUCCAGUUGAAAUUUAGGAAGGUUUAGAUAAAAAUAUUAGUCUUCAAAAGUGGGCAAAAAAUUAGGCCUGAUUAAAAAAUGGGUCAGGCUCAGGCUUGAACAUUCAAGGCUCGGGUCCAGCUUGUUUUUUUAUUGUAAUUUUUGUAUUAUGUUAUUUUUACAUAUUAUGUAAUUUAUAACUCAUAAAAAU
rnacentral:lncRNA from 1 species